AACUGAUACUACCUGCGGGAACCUGCGGAAGGAUCAUUACUGAGUGAGGGCCCCUCGGGGUCCAACCUCCCACCCGUGUUUAACGAACCUUUGUUGCUUCGGCGGGCCCGCCUCACGGCCGCCGGGGGGCUCCUGCCCCCGGGCCCGCGCCCGCCGAAGCCCCCCCUUGAACGCUGUCUGAAGUUUGCAGUCUGAGAAACUAGCUAAAUUAGUUAAAACUUUUAGCAACGGAUCUCUAGA
rnacentral:misc_RNA from 1 species